rnacentral:tRNA from 1 species
GGUGGCUCAGUGGUAGAGUGCUUGCCUUGCAAGGCAUGAGGCCCUGGGUUCAAUUCCUCAGCACCA